rnacentral:rRNA from 1 species
GACGAACCACACGAACGUUAUUCGGAAUCACUGGGCUUAAAGCGUGUGUAGGCGGAUCGUUAAGUACCUUGUGAAAUCCCACGGCUCAACCGUGGAACUGCUGGGUAUACUGGCGGUCUUGAGCCACCUAGGGGCAAUUGGAACAAGCGGUGGAGCGGUGAAAUGCGUAGAUAUCGCUUGGAACGCCAACGGUGAAAACAGGUGCUGGGGGUGUGCUGACGCUGAGACACGAAAGCCAGGGAGCGAACGGG